rnacentral:rRNA from 1 species
UAAACUUUAAACAUAUCAAUAAGCGGAGGAAAAGAAACUAACAAGGAUUCCCCUAGUAACGGCGAGCGAAGCGGGAAGAGCUCAAAUUUGAAAGCUGGCACCUCCGGUGUCCGCGUUGUAAUCUCGAGACGUGUUUUCCGUGCGGCUCUAUGGACAAGUCCCUUGGAACAGGGCAUCGUAGAGGGUGAAAAUCCCGUACUUGCCAUGGAUGUACCGUGCUUUGUGAUACACGCUCUAAGAGUCGAGUUGUUUGGGAUUGCAGCUCAAAAUGGGUGGUAGACUCCAUCUAAAGCUAAAUAUCGGGGAGAGACCGAUAGCGAACAAGUACCGUGAGGGAAAGAUGAAAAGCACUUUGGAAAGAGAGUUAAAAGUACGUGAAAUUGUCGAAAGGGAAGCGCUUGAAGUCAGCCAUGCUGCGCGGACUCAGCCCGGCUGAUGCCUGGUGUAUUUCCCAGCAGCAAGUCAGCAUGGAUUUGGAUCGCCGGAGAAGGGUGGGAGGAAUGUGGCACCCUCGGGUGUGUUAAGCCUCCUACUGGAUACGGCGAUUUGGAUCCAGGAACGCAGUGUGCCUCUGGCGGGUCUUCGGACACCUUCACACUUAGGAUGCUGGCGUAAUGGCUUUAAGCGGCCCGUCUUGAA